rnacentral:rRNA from 1 species
GUGCCAGCCGCCGCGGUAAUACCGGCAGCCCGAGUGAUGGCCGAUCUUAUUGGGCCUAAAGCGUCCGUAGCUGGCUGCGCAAGUCCGUCGGGAAAUCCACUCGCCCAACGAGUGGGCGUCCGACGGAAACUGCACAGCUUGGGACCGGAAGGCUCGAAGGGUACGUUCGGGGUAGGAGUGAAAUCCUGUAAUCCUGGACGGACCGCCGGUGGCGAAAGCGCCUCGGGAGGACGGACCCGACGGUGAGGGACGAAAGCCAGGGUCUCGAACCGGAUUAGAUACCCGGGUAGUCC